GCCAUCCUAGCUCAAUUGGUAGAGCAUCUGAUUUGUAAUCAGACGGUUGUCGGUUCAAGUCCGGUGGAUGGCUCCA
rnacentral:tRNA from 1 species